rnacentral:rRNA from 1 species
AUACGGGGGGUGCAAGCGUUGUUCGGAAUUAUUGGGCGUAAAGCGCGUGUAGGCGGUUUGAUUAGUCUGAUGUGAAAGCCCUGGGCUCAACCCAGGAAGUGCAUUGGAAACUGGCAGACUUGAAUACGGGAGAGGGUAGUGGAAUUCCUGGUGUAGGAGUGAAAUCCGUAGAUAUCAGGAGGAACACCGGUGGCGAAGGCGGCUACCUGGACCGAUAUUGACGCUGAGACGCGAAAGCGUGGGUAGC